UGGCUCCGGCUGGGGGUGGGCCAGGCCUGGGCGUCUCUCUCUAGCUCUCCCGGUGCCCCAGGCCCAGGUCUCAGGCCGAGAGAACGCGCCGCCACAGGCCCAGCAAGCCGCUGCCGCCACCUAGGUACCGGGCCUCAGGUGGGCAGGCUGAAGGGAGAAUGAGGCCGCUUUAGGGUCAGUUUCCGAGCCGAGCGGCUUGGGACUUCUGGCGGAAGUAGCUGCUCGGAGCCGGAGCCUAGGGCAACUCCGGGCGGAAGCGGCGGAGCUCGAAACUCGGAAGGCAGGGAAGUCAGAGCCGGAAGUCAGUCCCCUCCGAAGAGAAUGCUUCCGGAAACACAGAAAGACCCGAAGAUGCUCUGGAAAAUUGCAAGAGAACAUCUGUCCUGGCUCAGAAACAUUUCUUUCUAGUGGAGCUUCCUCUUCUCGAGAAGAAAUCUGAUAGUUUUCAAGGUACCUCAUCCUAUAGCUGGAUACUCAGAAAGGAUCGUCUUAUUCAAGAGGAUUUUGCCCUCAUUUUCUGCAGGAAGGAAAAGAAGGUUAGAGAGGACAUGUGACAUGCUGCAAAUCCCCCAUGCUCCCACACGGCCUGUAUUCUUGGGUUUAUUUGAUUAUUCACGGCACCAGGAGUUGAUAAUUUCCACAACUGGGUGUUCUCCUCCUGAAGUAUCAGCCUCGAGCCAUUUUUGGUCCUGUCUCACCAAGAUACUUGCAUCUGAGCCUCAGCCUUCGUAUGUGGCCAUGUGAGUAUGUAGCCAGUGGAACGUGAUCACAAGUGACUGUAUUCAAGGCUUUCUUCUGCUGUGGUGGUCAAGACAGCGCUGGGACCCAGCAAGUGCAGCCACAACAUGGCAGUGCCUCCAUCAUCUCAGUGACCACAUGGACUAGAGGCGUGAUUGAUGCACUUUGAAAGUCCCUGGAGGAUAGGAAGCCUGCCUGGCAUCGAGCAUAAUGCUUUUCCCCGUGAAGACCUGCUGUAAAUGCUGCAACAGAGAAGGGGCUCUGGGCUGUAUGGAGCGGAAAAUGCUGCUGCUGAUCGGUGAGCCUGUCACUCAGUGGUGGCUGUGUCUCAGGUUGCAUGUCUAAAAGAGCUCACAGGUGGGCCCAAGCCCCCACUCUGUGCUUGACUCAGCCUCCCAGUACCUAAA